rnacentral:rRNA from 1 species
CGUCAAAGCUUAAUUAUUACCUUCAACAAAUUCCCUAAACAAAUUAGAACCCCACCUCAAUAUUGAAUAAUUCCAUAUAUUUAUGGAAGCUAUAAUGUUAAAACUAGUAACAUGAAAACACCUUCUCUUAAAUGUAAACAUAAACCAGAAUGUACAAUACACUGAUAAUUAACAGCUUAAACCAAAGUGAUAACCUCACCCAAGAAAACCUCACUAACUCAUCUGUUAACCUAACACAAGAACAUUUAAAGAAAGACUCAAAGAAAAAGAAGGAACUCGGCAAAAGCUGAUUCCGCCUGUUUACCAAAAACAUCGCCUCCUGAAUUCUAAGCCAUAGGAGGUCCAGCCUGCCCAGUGACUCUGUUUAACGGCCGCGGUAUCCUAACCGUGCGAAGGUAGCGUAAUCACCUGUUUUUUAAUUAAAGACCUGUAUGAAAGGCAUCACGAGAAUCACACUGUCUCCUUUCUCAAGUCAGUGAAACUAAUCUCCUCGUGAAAAAGCGAGGAUACCUCUACAAGACGAGAAGACCCUUUGGAGCUUAAGACAAAAUAAAUAUCUGCCCACUUUUAACCUCCUCACCUUUUAACACUAUAUUUAUAAGUCUUGGGUUGGGGCAACCGCGGACUAAAAACAAACCUCCAAGUUGAACGGAAAUUUCCUAAACAAAAAGCAACAGCUUUAUGUAUCAAUAAACUGACACAAUUUGACCCAAUAUAUUUUGAUUAACGAACCAAGUUACCCUAGGGAUAACAGCGCAAUCCACUUCAAGAGUUCAUAUCGAAAAGUGGGCUUACGACCUCG